rnacentral:ncRNA from 1 species
GUUUCGGGGCGGGGUGAGAUUCCCCACCGGCGGUAGAGCCCGCGACCACUUUGCUGCAAAGUGCUGACCCGGUGUGAUUCCGGGGCCGACAGUAUAGUCUGGAUGGAAGAGA